rnacentral:misc_RNA from 1 species
GAUGAAGAACGUAGCGAAAUGCGAUAAGUAAUGUGAAUUGCAGAAUUCAGUGAAUCAUCGAAUCUUUGAACGCACCUUGCACCCUUUGGCAUUCCGAAGGGUAUGCUCGUUUGAGUGUCAUUGUACUCUCACACUCCCAAUUGCUUUGGAUUGGGAGCGGUGGACUUGGGUGUUGCUGCUUGACUGAGGCUCACCUGAAAUAUGUUAGUGCACCUCUUGAUUGGACAUAGUACGGCGUGAUAAGUGUCUUCGCCGGCUCCUCGCAAAGAGGGUGGCCGAUCGGGAGCUCUGUUGCUUCAAACUGUCUUCGGACAAUCUUCUGGCGACUUGACCUCAAAUCGAGUAGGACUACCCGCUGAACUUAAGCAUAUCAAUAAGCGGAGGA